rnacentral:lncRNA from 1 species
GCUGGGACUGUUUAUAUGCAGUGUAUAACUCUAAACCAAGAGUAAACCAAGCUAACCGACUCAUUACAUUUCUCGUUUACUCUAAUUACUCAUGCAAUAUGUCGACAAAAAAAAAAAAGACUGUUUGUACCGGGCCGCAUCUUUUUUAUGGAGUACCCGUUUGCACCAUGGUGAACAAAAUAAAAUGAUUACAAUCAAGGGAGAAUUGGAAAAAAAAAGAGAUACUUGUUGUAAAAGUAAUGGAAAAGUCUAUCUUUAUUCAUAACAUAGAUGUUCCUUAUAUAAAAGAUUACACCGUCAUAGAUAAAUGAAAAGAUUACAAAUCAUAAUCUCUUGGUUAUGAGCCAUCUACAAUCUAGUUCAUAACACUCCCCCU